rnacentral:rRNA from 1 species
UACGGAGGGGGCUAGCGUUGUUCGGAAUUACUGGGCGUAAAGCGCGCGUAGGCGGACCUGCAAGUCGGACGUGAAAUCCCUCGGCUUAACCGGGGAACUGCGUCCGAUACUGGAUGGCUUGAGUUCGGGAGAGGGAUGCGGAAUUCCAGGUGUAGCGGUGAAAUGCGUAGAUAUCUGGAGGAACACCGGUGGCGAAGGCGGCAUCCUGGACCGACACUGACACUGAGGAGCGAAAGCCAGGGGAGCAAACGGG